AUUCCUUCUUAUCCUGCACUCAGUUUGAUUAUUGGCUGUGGAGCCUGGAAACGGAGGAGAAAUUAAAUUAAUUGAAGGCAAAAAUGUGUUAUUCAUUCAGAAAGCAUAACGCUUGUUGAUAUUAAACAAAA
rnacentral:snoRNA from 1 species